rnacentral:rRNA from 1 species
GUGGGGAAUCUUAGACAAUGGGCGCAAGCCUGAUCUAGCCAUGCCGCGUGAGCGAUGAAGGCCUUAGGGUUGUAAAGCUCUUUCGUGGGGGAAGAUAAUGACUGUACCCCAAGAAGAAGCCCCGGCUAACUACGUGCCAGCAGCCGCGGUAAUACGUAGGGUGCAAACGUUAUCCGGAUUUAUUGGGCGUAAAGAGCUCGUAGGCGGAAUUGUAAGUUGGAUAUUAAAUACCCAAGCUCAACUUGGGGAGAGUAUCCAAAACUACUUUUCUAGAGGGAUGCAGGGGAGAACGGAACUUACAGUGUAGCGGUGGAAUGCGUAGAUAUUGUAAGGAACGCCAAUGGUGAAGACAGUUCUCUGGGCAUUUUCUGACGCUGAGGAGCGAAAGCGUGGGUAGCGAUCGGGAUUAGAAACCCUUGUAGUCC